GUUUUGAGGGCUGAAGCCAGCGCCAUGGCGACCAAACCUCGGCUCUCCACACAGUUGCGGGAGUGCGACACCCCUAGACCAGAAUGGAAGGAGAGAGAGGUUUAGAAGAGUGGCAAACGUUCCUGCUCUGUCUGUAGCGGUUACCUCCAAACAGUAUGGCGUGAGGACUCACAUCUGUGAUCCGAGUGCUGGAGAGGCUGAGGCUGGAGGAUUGCUGCUGGUGUGGCAGUCAGUUUUAACAGAAACAAAGGUGUUUGGGGCUGCGCAAGAGGACAAGAAAGCAGCCUUAGAAGUUUGGAAUGCUGCCCACUGAUUAGCACAACCUUGGUGAGCUUGCUUGGGAGAGGCGGAGUCCCGAGGACCUCUCGUCCUGAGGACUUCAUGCUGCCAUGGAGCAUUGAUCUGCUUGUUGCCUUCACGUCCCUCCCAAUCUCUGAUUGGUAUGAAGACUCUAAGGGGCUUCCUGCCCUUCACUGGGCAACGCCGCUGGCACCUACAGUAAUGGCGGCUGAUCUUUUUCAAGCAUUGCUGCUGGAGCAGAUGAAUGAUUCAUCCACCGCCAGAAGUGACACAGAGAUGUAGAAUCGGGAGAAGCAGAUUGUUAGUAAAGUCGGGUUAGGAUGGCUUUGCCAGUGACUUGAUGUAGAAAAUCUUGGGGAACAAUUUGACAUUCAGAAAGGCGCACUCUUAGUAGCCGAGCUAGAGAUUGUUGUUUGUUUUGAGGUCAGAGAACAAGAACAAUGGGAGCCUGGCCAGCACGGCUGACCAGGUGCCUUGCUUGCUAACACUGGCCUGGUGAUCAAGAGGAUGAUUAAUUUCUUGUACCCACUUUUGCCCUCAGCUUCCUGAUAUGAUUUAAUUAAAAAAACGUUAAUGAGUAGAUGUGUAUCCUGAGGAUAAAGAAGAAAUGACUGAUUUUUAUUUAAAAGUUUAUAUUUGUGAUUCUUUUAAGCUUUUUAUAAGAUUACUUUUAAGACAGAUAUUUAAAUAAUUGAGCCUUUCUUUGUAACUGUAAAUUGCAGCCUGGUAAGAGAAAAUGACCUUGCUUGUUUACGUCACACCUCGUUAACCUACAACAAGUUGCUUAGUUACAAUGUGCAUGGGUUCUUGGGAAUAAUUCUUUUCACCGUAAUACAUAAAACAUUUGAACAUGUGAGGAUACUGAGGAACAUGUUUUUCUUAUGUAUACUCCUUGUAAUCAUUCACUUAAAGAAAAAAUAGAAUGUAACCGCAUUGUGAUGUUUGUAUUGCUUGAAAGGUUUUGCUGGGAUAUGUAAGCUGUGGGAGAAAAAAUAAAGUUGUUGGACCU